rnacentral:misc_RNA from 1 species
UUUCCGUAGGUGAACCUGUGGAAGGAUCAUUAGCGAAGUCAAGUCCGGACCCGUUGGGGAUUGCAGCUGGCCUAACGGCAUGUGCUCGUCCCUUGGGUACGUGACCUUCACUACCACACCCCACUGUGAACCAAGCGGGAGGUCGAAAGGCCUCUUGCAUCUUAUACAAACCCCAAUCGCAUGUAUUAGAAUGUCAUGGCGUUAACACGCAACUAUACAACUUUCAACAACGGAUCUCUUGGCUCUCGCAUCGAUGAAGAACGCAGC